CAAAGCUUGAGCCUCCCAUUAUCUAUCCUUACCACUCUCUUUAAUUCUCUACUCAAUGUAAUGUUCACACACACAAACUCUAUUAAUGUAAUUCCUUCAACAUUGUAAUGAGCUUUCAAGCUCCUCUAUCCUUUAAACACAUAAUAAUACACUAGCCUAACGUGUAAGAUAUAGCCUCAUUAAUGGUAGCUCAAUUGGAGAUCAAACCCAACAUUCAGGCUCUAAUCUUCUCUAGAUGUACUGGACUGGACCUUUGAAAUUCCAGAUACUAGCAGAGAAGCUAUCAAGUGGUGACGUGAACAUUCAAUUUGCUUAGCAUAUGAAAAUUACAGGAAGAUUUUGGAGGCUCCACAUCCUACAAUUCCGUGUUUAAGAAGGAAUAUGAUGUCCAUUUUUGGUAAACAAGUCCUCUUUUUACUAGCUUUUGGUAUCUACGCUCUACUCUUUGUGGAUCCAUCUUAAACUAAACCAAUACACUACUAGUACUUCAAAACGUUACAACUGCUUGCAAAAUUGAAAGAAAAAGACAAUCAUAAUUUAGGAUUUAAUUUCAUACAAGAGAAGGAAAAUCAAUAAAUUAUUGAUCCAAUACCCAUAGAACAAACCUUAGCUCAUCAUCAUUACAAUAUACCCUAUUCUUUCAUAUUCUUGUUUAAACUUAUCCAACUAACUAGUAGUUACAAAGUGCAAUAGAGAAAUCAUAACUCUAAACUAGAACCAACAAGUCCAUUUUUAUCAUCAU